rnacentral:rRNA from 1 species
GAUGAACGCUGGCGGCGUGCCUAAUACAUGCAAGUCGAGCGAACGGACGAGAAGCUUGCUUCUCUGAUGUUAGCGGCGGACGGGUGAGUAACACGUGGAUAACCUACCUAUAAGACUGGGAUAACUUCGGGAAACCGAAGCUAAUACCGGAUGAUAUUUUGAACCGCAUGGUUCAAAAGUGAAAGACGGUCUUGCUGUCACUUAUAGAUGGAUCCGCGCUGCAUUAGCUAGUUGGUAAGGUAACGGCUUACCAAGGCAACGAUGCAUAGCCGACCUGAGAGGGUGAUCGGCCACACUGGAACUGAGACACGGUCCAGACUCCUACGGGAGGCAGCAGUAGGGAAUCUUCCGCAAUGGGCGAAAGCCUGACGGAGCAACGCCGCGUGAGUGAUGAAGGUCUUCGGAUCGUAAAACUCUGUUAUUAGGGAAGAACAUAUGUGUAAGUAACUGUGCACAUCUUGACGGUACCUAAUCAGAAAGCCACGGCUAACUACGUG